rnacentral:rRNA from 1 species
CAGUCGCCCGGGAAUACGUAGGGUGCGAGCGUUGUCCGGAAUUAUUGGGCGUAAAGAGCUCGUAGGCGGUGUGUCACGUCGGCCGUGAAAACCUGGGGCUCAACUCUGGGCGUGCGGUCGAUACGGGCAUCACUUGAGUUCGGCAGGGGAGACUGGAAUUCCUGGUGUAGCGGUGAAAUGCGCAGAUAUCAGGAGGAACACCGGCGGCGAAGGCGGGCCUCUGGGCCGAUACUGACGCUGAGGAGCGAAAGCAUGGGUAGCGAACAGGAUUAGAUACCCCGGUAGUCCCUGUCUCUUAUAC